CACAAGUGAGAGAAAUUGUGAAAAAUGAUGUCCAAAAUCUUGAAAGAAGCAGUAAUUCUCAUGGUAAUCACAACAAUUGUGGUUUCUUUGGUUUCAGCACAAGUUGAUCCAUAUCAUAAGUGUGUUGAUGAAUGUUACUCAACAUGUUUUGCUGACAUUGCUGGCUGCUAUGAAUACUGUAAACAAGAAUGUAAACAUCCCAAUUUUUCUGCAUCCAAAUUUCAUCAAUGCUCUGUCGAUGCUUGUCUCAAGCUUAAAGGAGAUAAGAAGUUGAUGGAGGUUUGCCUUAACGAAUGUAGGAAGAACACUGAUAAAGUCAAAGGUUGAGAAGUACCUCUGACGCUAGAUUUAUAUAGCUGACCACCAAAAAGAGAAAAACUUGUAAUAAGAUCCUUUGAUUUGAUGUAAUAGAAAGGAUGUUUGCGUUCCUACUAAAGGCUUUACCUUUUAAAAUA